UUGGGGAAGCUGAAGAAGCCACAGGCAGCCGGCCUGGACUGGAAUCACUGAAAAGACGCCCCAGGAGACCUCAGGGUGUAAAAGAACUGCCCUCCCAAGAGAGGAAGCAAGUUGGAGAUUGCACAGCACCUUCUCUGAACGUUAUACACAGACGUGGCCAGUCUGGACGUACGUGUAUCAUCAGAGAAAACGGAUGCCAGCUGAACAGCAUUCAAUGUACCAUGCAUUUACUGGUUAAAAGAAGCCAAGAAGGGGAGAAGGAAAAAGAACAGAACGAGUUAACUGAGGAAAAAUAGCUAGCAAGCUCAGUCCAAAGAUAAGAUGCUGGCACCAUCCAAGGACACUGGCCACAGCUAAGACUUGGCUGAUAGCCAAGAAAAGGGGGGCCUGAAUGUGCCCAAGCAACUAUGAGAUCUGCAAAACACUGCCAGGCAUUAAUGAAAUGUGUUAGGUUUCUUUUCUCACAGAUAAAAGAAGUGCUACCCAAAGACCCUAGCAGCCCUGCCAUUCAUUGAAACAAGGAGACUGAGUCUACGUAAAGUCCAUCAACGAAAGACUGCUUUGGCUCCACACUGGAAAGGCCCUUUCCAAGUCCUGUUAACCACCACCACCACUGUGAAGUGCCAAGGACUACCUGCCUGGACCCAUGCUUCUCACUGUAAAAAGACCCCUCCACCUCGGGAGGACUCUCUGACUGAUGAUAAUUCUCCUUCUAGCUCUGCUGUGUCUUCUGGACAGCAGGAAAAAGAAAGAAAAAAAAAAGACAAGGUGAAGUGCUAGUAACCUCUCCCUUGUCCACUGACAGACCUACUGUGCCUCUGGAUUUUUCUAGAAGAAGCAAAACCAUUACAGGGUGAUGUGCUAGUAACCUCUCCCCUGUAUGAUGCUAAACCACACUGUUUCAGGAAAAGAGAAGAACGAACACUUGCUUCACUGAAACCACAAAGUCCAGGGAUUCCUGACUACAAGAGACAUUAAGAACUGACCCUGGUGAAGAAACAAAGAAUUAUACACUGGCAGGAAGAAACUUGUGAGACCCAUGCUUGGGAACGUGGUAUUGAUUGGAUUUUGGGGUUUAUUCUACAGGCUGCGCCCUGUGUUUUGGAUAAGUCCUUCAGCAUGUAUUGCCCUCCCUAAUUGGAUUUUAAAUGAUAAGUACCAAAGGCACCUUGUUGCCAUUGCCCCUGCCAUCUCCUCCAUUACACUAUUACCCCUGUAACACAUCCAAAUACAGACAAUGCCAUAGAUUUGAUAAAACCAAUGACUAAGGCCUUCACACUUUAGUGAUUUAUUUAAAUAUUGUUUGAAAAAAUAUAUUUUUAAGGUUCAGGAUAUCCCAUAUAAGCGAACAAUUGAAUGGAUCAGUGGAGAUAAAAGUAUAUGAUAUCACUACCAGUGAACCCCAAGAAUUUAUAAUUGCUCACGGGGGCUGCCAUUAGAUUAGCACAACAGAGGGCUUGGGUUAUUUCCUCUAGAAAGAAGAGAGACUUGACCGGAUCCCUUUGGGAUGGGGCCAAUAAUGCAGCAGCAGUUUGGAAUAUUUUUAAGAACCAAGAACAUGAUGAGAAAUUGGGGCAACUAGAGAAGGCCAUUGGCCUUGUUUCUGGAGCACAGCUAACCCAGGUACAGGCUGGAGUUGAUGAGUUACAUGUUAUUUCCGCCCUUAGUUCAAUGACCCAGAAGUUGCUGACAGAGAUGGUAUUGAAUAUCACUGAGGCUGGGAAGGCAUUGCAGUGGGAUCUAGCAUGCUCAGAGAUUCAGGAUUUCUUGAAUGACCAGCUAAUGGCCAUUCGGAAUGAUCUAGAGCACCAGGCUUGGCCCACUGCCCUUACAGACACAUCAGGAGUACCAUCUGAUCUGUGGCCAUGGAGACAUACUUGGAAACUUUCUGGGUGGAAGUGUGGACGUUCUCAGUGCUCCUUCCAAGCAUAUGGACCGGUUCAGGGGGUGUGGGCUCCCACAUACCGAAUCCUGCCGGGUCCAUGGGGAGGAUGCAUGUGGGAUUGGGUAAUUCACCGAGACAUCUGGGAAAUUAGACCUCCUGGUAUGCCCAAUCGAUUUUUAGUCAGUGCUCCUGGGAUUACAUCUGACAUUUGGAUGGGGUUAGGGAGUCAAUGGACAUUUUGGCCGUUACAACCCCCACAGCUUCAGUGUAUCCGUAAACUGAAGCCAGGAGAAGUUGUUACUCUUCAUGACUACGUUUGCUGGGAGGGUAGGGGACAAGGAACUACCCUAACAGGACACUUAUUUUUUAAGCUAAUGAUAGCUGUGUGUAUGUUAAAGCCACCACAUUGCAAGACAUACAUUUUAAUCUCAUUACCACUGCAGGCAAUCAUAUUAUUUACUGGCCUGCAGAUAGAAUUUUGCAAGUAGUCCUUAGGUUCCAGAUACCCUUUAAUUGGACUAGUUUAGUACCUGAUCGAUUUCAAAAUUUGCUUUCACUGUUACCAGAGGUUCAGAAAAUCUCUGAAGUACAAGGACA